CCUACGGGGUGCAGCAGUGGGGAAUAUUGCACAAUGGGGGAAACCCUGAUGCAGCGACGCCCCGUGAGUGAAAAAGUAAUUCGUUACGUAAAGCUCUAUCACCAGGGAAGAAAAUGCCGUUCCCUGAUAAAGACGCCCCGGCGAACUACUUCCCAGCAGCCGCGGUAAUACGUAGGGGGAAAGCGUUAUCCGGAUUUCCGGGGUGUAAAGGGAGCGUAGACGGUGCGCCAAGUCUGGAGUGAAUUGCCGCAGCUUAACUGCGGAACUGUUUUGGAACCUGGCGAACUAGAGUGCGGGAGGGGUAAGCGGAAUUCCUAGUGUAGCGGUGAAAUGCGUAGAUAUUAGGAGGAACACCGGUGGCGAAGGCGGCUUACUGGACCGUAACUGACGUUGAGGCUCGAAAGCGUGGGGAGCAAACAGGAUUAGAUACCCUUGUAGUC
rnacentral:rRNA from 1 species